GAUGAACGCUGGCGGCGUGCCUAAUACAUGCAAGUCGAGCGAACAGAUGAGGAGCUUGCUCCCCUGACGUUAGCGGCGGACGGGUGAGUAACACGUGGAUAACCUACCUAUAAGACUGGGAUAACUUCGGGAAACCGGAGCUAAUACCGGAUAAUAUAUUGAACCGCAUGGUUCAAUAGUGAAAGACGGUUUUGCUGUCACUUAUAGAUGGAUCCGCGCCGCAUUAGCUAGUUGGUAAGGUAACGGCUUACCAAGGCAACGAUGCGUAGCCGACCUGAGAGGGUGAUCGGCCACACUGGAACUGAGACACGGUCCAGACUCCUACGGGAGGCAGCAGUGGGGAAGCGUCCGCAGUGGGCGAAAGCCUGACGGAGCAACGCCGCGUGAGUGAUGAAGGUCUUCGGAUCGUAAAACUCUGUUAUUAGGGAAGAACAAAUGUGUAAGUAACUAUGCACGUCUUGACGGUACCUAAUCAGAAAGCCACGGCUAACUACGU
rnacentral:rRNA from 1 species